GUAGGUGAACCUGCGGAAGGAUCAUUAGAGAGGAUGCUGUGUCCGCUAUUGUGGAUCAUGGCAUGAUUCAUCCUUGUGUUAUGUAACAUGUUGAUUGUGAGGUGUUGUGUGGUGUUGUUAUACAGCUCACAACAGCUCGCAUCAUUUUAUUCCAUUCCAUUCCAACCUCUUAUUCUACGCCUGUAACAAGGCACAAACAAUCGAAAACUGCCAGCAAUGGAUCACUCGGUUCUC
rnacentral:misc_RNA from 1 species